AUUAUUAUGUGUUAUUAGAGGAUUAAUUUCUGAACACCAACUAUAAAGUUGUAAAAAAUGUAAACAUUAAAAAUAAUUAAAAGAGCAAUGCUAAGCCUGGUGUAGCUCAAGUAAAGCCUGGCGGGCUGCCAGGCUUAUAAUAGACUGGAGGAAACCUGCAGCAAAACCUCCACAAAUCUCAAAUUAUGUCUUUUUGUUGUUAUUUUUAUUGCAGUGUUGCGUUUAUGGCCGACUGUGUGCGGAUGCCUUAUUUGCAUACUUGCUGUUUAGCGCCACUUACAGGUCUGGAGGAGUAACAGCAGCAGUUUGGUGCCGAUUGAACCGGUUCUGUGUCGAUGGAUGAUGAUCAUAUCUGACCCACACAAAUGGAUCAGACUGAGAUCUGAAUAUUGAAUUAAUAAGUUUAUAGAUGCAGCAUCAGUUUUAUGAAGGUUAACUUUGAAAUCAGUUUUGAUUAUAUGCAUGUUUAGUUUGUAAAAAGCCAAAACAAAAACCCACAUGCAUAAAUAUUGUGGUAGAGAUGAAAAUCCAAACUGUUUGUAUCAUAUUAGAGUUUGUUGAUUUUUAUGCAUAAUGAUGGAGGAAAACACCAGCAGGAGGUUUUUUCAGUCUGGAGGUUCAGCUGGUUUCCUGCUGCAGGUUUUUGUUGGGCGGUUUCUCAUCGUGUUAGCUGGGGUACCACUCUGACUGAACCUGCACACACAGCGCUGCAAAAACCUCCAGGCUCUGCUGACCUGCCUGGAAAACCCUUAAAACCCCCAUGGAGACCCAAACAACCGGAACCAAGCUGCGUUUCAGAUCCUCGUUUACCGCUGCCGGAUUCAUAACGGCUCCGUUUGAGGAGGUGCAGGAUUUUUCUGCUCCUCUGGAAACGAUUUCAGCUCCCAGGUUUUUGUACGAGGCUGUAAUACUGUGAUGCUCUGACGUUCGGGAAGCCGAUCCGACUCACCGUCUCUCCUAAAGAUGACUCCCCCGUCAGUCCGGUCCUCUUCCUCCUGGGUCGCCUGCAGCCUGCCGGUUCUUCCCCGGCCCAGUCGGGUCCAGAUGUGUGUCUGGCUGCAGGUUUCCGUCCCAGUGGACCCGA